GGCGAGGGUAGCACAGUAGGUUAGUGUGUUUGUUUGUGGAGCAAGAGGUCACGGGUUCGAGUCCCGUUCUUCGCC
rnacentral:tRNA from 1 species